rnacentral:rRNA from 1 species
UGAGGAAUAUUGGUCAAUGGGCGAGAGCCUGAACCAGCCAAGUCGCGUGAAGGAAGAAGGUUCUAUGGAUUGUAAACUUCUUUUGCAGGGGAAUAAAGGACGGUACGUGUACUGUUUUGUAUGUACCUUGCGAAUAAGGAUCGGCUAACUCCGUGCCAGCAGCCGCGGUAAUACGGCGGAUCCGAGCGUUAUCCGGAGUUAUUGGGUUUAAAGGGUGCGUAGGUGGAUCGUUAAGUCAGUGGUGAAAGUUUUCAGCUCAACUGAAAAAUUGCCGUUGAAACUGUCGAUCUUGAGUGCAAAUGAGGUAGGCGGAAUGUGUGGUGUAGCGGUGAAAUGCUUAGAUAUAACACAGAACACCGAUUGCGAAGGCAGCUUACUGGGAUGCAACUGACACUGAUGCACGAAAGCGUGGGUAUCAAACA